UCACCAAAGUACUCACCGUCGCCCAAGAGAGCAAUCCGUAAGUCCUCACCAUGAGGACCUUUGCUAAUGACCUCGGCCUGUCCGCUGGCCACGAUGAAGAAGCGCUGUUUGUCCUUACCCUCUUCCACGAAGAGUUUAUCGACAUCGACCUCUUUGGCUUCGAACGAGCUGACGAGACGGUUCAGUAUCUCAUCGUCGAACUCAGAGAACAGGGGGAUAGCCUUGAGGUCCUUCGCCGUAAACGAUGGUACGCCAUUCACAUACUGGAUGGGCAGGCGGUCGUUCUUACGGAGUUCGACCUUUGUGCGGUUUACGCGGAACGUGCCGCCUGAAACCUGCACCCAAGGCAAUAACUUUAGUAACAGUCUCGGAGUGAUGGAGCCCAUCUGUGGGGCCGUCUUGGUAGUUGUCGCCAACUUCUUGGCGGUAGCAGUG
rnacentral:antisense_RNA from 1 species